GUGGUUGGUGGAUGACGCGGUCCGCCGCGUUGUUCUGGCGGCUCGGCACACGGGGCCGGCCCGGUUGGAGUCCGGGCCGGCCCCG
rnacentral:tRNA from 1 species